GUGAACAGCGCAGAUGAUGGGCA
rnacentral:piRNA from 1 species